rnacentral:lncRNA from 1 species
AUCGUUUGCUGCAUAUUUAUAAAUGUAUAAAUAUAAUUUCACAAGCCCUCUUGUAUUUUCCUUUGUGCUGCCUUGUAAUUUGAGUUGUGUGUGGUGUUUGUGUUAUGUACGUUAUGUGUGUGUGUUGUAUGUAUUAUAUUUGUGGGUGUGUCGUGAGUUGUGUGUGUGUUAUGAGUUGUGUGUUUGUGUGUUGUGUAUGAUGUGUGUGUGUGUUGUGUGUUGUUUGUUGUUUGUGUUGUGUGUGUGUGUUGUGUUUGUGUGUGUGUGUGUUGUGACUUGUGUGUGUUGUGUGUUGUGUAUGUUACGUCUGUGUGUUGUGUGUUGUGUGUGUUAUGAAUUCUGUGUGUGGGUGUUGUGUGUUGUUUGUUGUGUAUAGUGUGUGUGUUUUAUGUGUGAGUGUUAUGAGUUUUGUGUGUGUGUGCUGUGUGUUGUGUUUGAGUGUAGUUGUGUUUAUACGUGUUAUGUGUGUGUGGGUAUUGUGUGUUGUUUGUUGUGUAUAUGUGAGUGUGUUAUGUGAGUCUGUUGUGUGUAUAUGUCUAUGUUGUGUGCAUGUGUGAGUUGUUUUUGUGUAUGUGUAUUGUGAGUUGUUUAUAUGUUACGAGUUGUGUGUGUGUUGUGUUAUGAGUGUUGUGUGUGGGUGUUGUGUAUUAUUUGUCGUGUAUGUGUGCGGGUAUUGUGUUUGUGUAUAUGUGCUGUGUUGUGUGUAAGUGUAUGUGUUGGGUAUGUUAUAUGUGUAUUUGUUAUGUGUUGUGUGUGUAUGUGUAUUGUGUAUGUCUUUGUGUGUUGUUUUUGUGUGUAUUAUUUAUUGUGUAUGUUAUGUGUGUGUGUAUAGUAGUGUGUUUGUUAUGAGUUGUGUGUGUUGUGUGUGUGUAUUGUAUGUUAUGUGUGUGUGUGUUGUGUGUGUGUAUUGUAUGUUAUGUGUGUGUUAUAUGUGUAUGUGUAUUGUGUGUAGUGUGUGUUGUUUAUGUUUGUCUUUAGUAUGUAUUGUUAUGAGUUGUGUGUGUGUAGUGUGUAUUGUUAUGAGUUGUAUGUGUGCUGUGAGUUGUGUGUGCUGUGUAUUUUAUAUGUGUUUGUUAUGAGUUGUGUGUAUGUUAUAUGUAUGUUGUUAUGAGUUGUGUGUUUGUGUUGUGUAUGUGUUGUGUGUAGUGUGUAAUAAGUGUGUGUGGUGUAUGUUAUGUGUGUGUGUUUUGAGUUGUGUGUAUGUGUGUGUGUGUUUUGUAUAUUAUAUGUUGUGUGUGUAUGUUAUGUGUGUAUAUGUUAUGAGUUUUGUGUAUAUGUGUCUAUAUUAUGUAUGUUAUGUGUGUGUGUAUGUUUUGUGUUGUGUGAUCUUUGUGUUGAUUGUGUUAUGUUUGUGUAUUGUGUGUGUGUCUUUUUGUGUUGUGCGUUGUUUGUGUUGUUUGUUAUUUUUUGUGUAGUAUUUAUUGUGUAUGUUAAGUGUGUGUGUUGUUAUGAGUUGUGUAAGUGUUGUUUGUAUAUAUUAUGUGUGUGUGUAUUGUGUGUGUUAUGAGUUGUGUGUUGUGUAUGUUAUGUGUGUGUGUUGUUAUGAGUUGUGUGUAUGUUAUGUGUGUGUGUAGUGUGUUGUUUGUGUGUUGUGUGUGUUGUUUGUGUGUGUUAUGAGUUUUGUGUGCAUGUGUGUGUAUUAUGUUAUGAGUUGUGCAUGUAGUGUGUAUUGUUUGUGUGUGUUGUUUGUGUGUGUAUGUUAUGAGUGUGUGUAGUAUGUAUUAUUAUGAGUUGUGUGUAUGCGUGUGUGUAGUGUGUUAUUAUGAGUUGUGUGUAUGUGUGUGUUAUGAGUUGUGUGUGUAUGUAUGUGUGUAUUGUGUAUGUUUUAUGUGUGUGUGUUGUUAUGUGUGUAUGUGUGUUGUGUAUGUUGUGUUUGUGUGUUAUGUAUAGUGUGUGUGUUGAGUUGUGUGUUGGGUAUGUUAUGUGUGUGUAUUGUGUAUUGUUAUGAGUUUUGAGUGUAUGUGUGUGUUGUUUGUGUACUGU